AGAAUCUAGUGAGAGGAAAGGCAAAAUAAGUGUGGGGCUGUAAGCAAUUGAGAUGAGAUUAUACCCUGUUCUGGGAGAACCCAUGCCCAAGUCCAUGGAAGCUCUGUGCCACAUGUCUGUAUUCUUGAUCAUGAAGAGACCAUCACAGGAAGAAGGUAGUCCUGCUGUUCCUCAUUGCCAUAAAUCCUCCUGCCUAGCCACUGGGUCUGAUACAAUGUUCAUGCAAUUGCUCAGGGAAUUGAUCCCGGUAGGAUGGGUGAAGAGGGUGCCACUGCUUUGAGGUUGAUCAGCCUGAAGAAGAGAAGACUCCAGGGAGACCUGCUAUCUGAAGGGGCUACAGGAGGGACAUUUUACAAGUGCAUGGAGUGACAGGACAAGG